rnacentral:rRNA from 1 species
GACUACUAGCGUAUCUAAUCCUGUUUGAUACCCACACUUUCGAGCCUCAGUGUCAGUUGCAGUCCAGUGAACUGCCUUCGCAAUCGGUGUUCUGUGUGAUAUCUAUGCAUUUCACCGCUACACCACACAUUCCUCCCACGGCAUCCGCAUUCCAGCAAGGCAGUAUCAAUGGCACUUCACCCCGUUGAGCGGGGGCAUUUCACCGCUGACUUACCCCACAGCCUACGCACCCUUUAAACCCAAUAAAUCCGGAUAACGCUUGCAUCCCCCGUAUUACCGCGGCUGCUGGCACGGAGUUAGCCGAUGCUUAUUCGUACGGUACUCUCGUCUGGCCACACGUGACCAUUAUUGCUCCCGCACAAAAGAAGUUUAACGCCCAUAGGGCACUGACCUUCACGCGGCAUGGCUGGUUCAGCCUUCCGGCCAUUGACCAAUAUUCCUCACUGCUGCCGCCUGUAGUC